rnacentral:rRNA from 1 species
CAGUAGCCGCGGUAAUACGAAGGGGGCUAGCGUUGCUCGGAAUGACUGGGCGUAAAGGGCGCGUAGGCGGUGGCCAAAGUCAGGCGUGAAAUUCCCGGGCUCAACCUGGGGGCUGCGCUUGAUACUUGGUUGCUUGAGUGGGGAAGAGGGUCGUGGAAUUCCCAGUGUAGAGGUGAAAUUCGUAGAUAUUCGGAAGAACACCAGUGGCGAAGGCGGCUCACUGGACGCAUAUUGACGCUGGGGUGCGAAAGCGUGGGGAGCAAACAGGAUUAGAUACCCGCGUAGUCCCUGUCUCUUAUAC